UAUCUCUCCGUACGGGGAAGGAUGAGAAGCUUCGACUAAGGUUCGAUUCGAGCGCAGCGAGAAAGCGUUGCCGUAGGCAACGACCCGAAGGGCGAAGCGCGCAGCGCUGAGUAAUCCUUCCCCUGUCAUCC
rnacentral:sRNA from 1 species